UGCAAGUCGAGGGGUAUAGUAGCAAUACUAGAGACCGGCGCACGGGUGCGUAACGCGUAUGCAAUCUACCUUAUACAGAGGGAUAGCCCAGAGAAAUUUGGAUUAAUACCUCAUAGCAUAGCAACUUCGCAUGAAGUCACUAUUAAAGUUCCAACGGUAUAAGAUGAGCAUGCGUCCUAUUAGCUAGAUGGUAAGGUAACGGCUUACCAUGGCUACGAUAGGUAGGGGUCCUGAGAGGGAGAUCCCCCACACUGGUACUGAGACACGGACCAGACUCCUACGGGAGGCAGCAGUGAGGAAUAUUGGACAAUGGGCGCAAGCCUGAUCCAGCCAUGCCGCGUGCAGGAAGACGCAUCUAUGGUGUGUAAACUGCUUUUGUACGGGAAGAAACACUCCCUCGUGAGGGAGCUUGACGGUACCGUAAGAAUAAGGAUCGGCUAACUCCGUGCCAGCAGCCGCGGUAAUACGGAGGAUCCAAGCGUUAUCCGGAAUCAUUGGGUUUAAAGGGUCCGUAGGCGGUUUGGUAAGUCAGUGGUGAAAGCCCAUCGCUUAACGAUGGAACGGCCAUUGAUACUGCCAGACUUGAAUUACUGGGAAGUAACUAGAAUAUGUAGUGUAGCGGUGAAAUGCU
rnacentral:rRNA from 1 species